rnacentral:rRNA from 1 species
GAUUAGCUGGUUGGUGAGGUAACGGCUCUACCAAGGCAACGAUCAGUAGCCGGCUUGAGAGAGUGAACGGCCACAUUGGGACUGAGACACGGCCCAGACUCCUACGGGAGGCAGCAGUGGGGGAUAUUGCACAAUGGAGGAAACUCUGAUGCAGCGACGCCGCGUGAGGGAAGACGGUUUUCGGAUUGUAAACCUCUGUCUUCAGGGACGAAAUGAAUGACGGUACCUGAGGAGGAAGCUCCGGCUAACUAC